UACGGAGGAUGCAAGCGUUAUCCGGAAUGAUUGGGCGUAAAGCGUCCGCAGGUGGCAAUGUAAGUCUGCUGUCAAAGCGUCUGGCUCAACCAGAUAAAGGCAGUGGAAACUACAUAGCUAGAGUAAGGUAGGGGUAGAGGGAAUUCCUGGUGUAGCGGUGAAAUGCGUAGAGAUCAGGAAGAACACCGGUGGCGAAAGCGGCGUGCUGGACCUUUUCUGACGCUGAGGCGCGAAAGCUAGGGGAGCAAACGGG
rnacentral:rRNA from 1 species